UACGAGGGGGGCAAAUGGUGUUCGGAAUCACUGGGCGUAAAGGGAGCGUAGGCGGGUUCUUAAGUAAGGUGUUUAAUCCCGGGGCCCAACCCCGGACCGGCACUUUAAACUGGGAAUCUUGAAUAGUGGAGAGGUCAGUGGAAUUGGGGGUGUAGCGGUGGAAUGCGUAGAGAUCCCCAAGAACACCAGUUGCGAAGGCGGCUGACUGGACACAUAUUGACGCUGAGGCUCGAAAGCAUGGGGAGCAAACAGG
rnacentral:rRNA from 1 species